rnacentral:rRNA from 1 species
CACGUAGGCGGAUUGGAAAGUUGGGGGUGAAAUCCCGGGGCUCAACCCCGGAACUGCCUUCAAAACUCCCAGUCUUGAGUUCGAGAGAGGUGAGUGGAAUUCCGGAGUGUAGAGGUGAAAUUCGUAGAUAUUCGGAGGAACACCAGUGGCGAAGGCGGCCCCCUGGACGAAGACUGACGCUCAGGUGCGAAAGCGUGGGGAGCAAACA